rnacentral:rRNA from 1 species
UGCNAGUCGAACGAUGNUCCCNGCUUGCUGGGGGANUAGUGGCGAACGGGUGAGUAACACGUGAGUAACCUGCCCUUAACUCUGGGAUAAGCCUGGGAAACUGGGUCUAAUACCGGAUAUGACUGAUCAUCGCAUGGUGGUUGGUGGAAAGCUUUUUGUGGUUUUGGAUGGACUCGCGGCCUAUCAGCUUGUUGGUGAGGUAAUGGCUCACCAAGGCGACGACGGGUAGCCGGCCUGAGAGGGUGACCGGCCACACUGGGACUGAGACACGGCCCAGACUCCUACGGGAGGCAGCAGUGGGGAAUAUUGCACAAUGGGCGCAAGCCUGAUGCAGCGACGCCGCGUGAGGGAUGACGGCCUUCGGGUUGUAAACCUCUUUCAGUAGGGAAGAAGCGAAAGUGACGGUACCUGCAGAAGAAGCGCCGGCUAACUACGUGCCAGCAGCCGCGGUAAUACGUAGGGCGCAAGCGUUAUCCGGAAUUAUUGGGCGUAAAGAGCUCGUAGGCGGUUUGUCGCGUCUGCCGUGAAAGUCCGGGGCUCAACUCCGGAUCUGCGGUGGGUACGGGCAGACUAGAGUGAUGUAGGGGAGACUGGAAUUCCUGGUGUAGCGGUGAAAUGCGCAGAUAUCANGAGGAACACCGAUGGCGAAGGCAGGUCUCUGGGCAUUAACUGACGCUGANGAGCGAAAGCAUGGGGAGCGAACAGGAUUAGAUACCCUGGUAGUCCAUGCCGUAAACGUUGGGCACUNNNGUGGGGGACNUUCCACGUUUUCCGCGCCGNANCUAACGCAUUAAGUGCCCCGCCUGGGGAGUACGGCCGCANNNUAAAACUCAAAGGAAUUGACNGGGGCCCGCACAANCGGCGGANCAUGCGGAUU